CGGGAUGCUGGAGGCGGAAGCUGGACCGCGAUGCUGGAUGCGAGUGAGCGUCGAGCGGGGGGCCUCCUGGGGGCGGGGGCCUAAGGCAAGGGCUUCGGUGGCCUUGCCCUUCAGCCGCCCCUGGUAGGGAGCAUGGGCCUGGUGAAUGGCCUAUCGACACGAUGUCUGAUUUCUGACGUGAUCUUUUUCAGACCAACCAAUAGAC
rnacentral:lncRNA from 1 species